GACGAACGCUGGCGGCGUGCUUAACACAUGCAAGUCGAACGGAAAGGCCCUGCUAUUGUGGGGUGCUCGAGUGGCGAACGGGUGAGUAACACGUGAGUAACCUGCCCUUGACUUUGGGAUAACUUCAGGAAACUGGGGCUAAUACCGGAUAGGAGCUCCUGCUGCAUGGUGGGGGUUGGAAAGUUUCGGCGGUUGGGGAUGGACUCGCGGCUUAUCAGCUUGUUGGUGGGGUAGUGGCUUACCAAGGCUUUGACGGGUAGCCGGCCUGAGAGGGUGACCGGCCAAAUUGGGACUGAGAUACGGCCCAGACUCCUACAGGAGGCAGCAGUGGGGAAUAUUGCACAAUGGGCGGAAGCCUGAUGCAGCAACGCCGCGUGCGGGAUGACGGCCUUCGGGUUGUAAACCGCUUUCGCCUGUGACGAAGCGUGAGUGACGGUAAUGGGUAAAGAAGCACCGGCUAACUACGUG
rnacentral:rRNA from 1 species